rnacentral:rRNA from 1 species
CAGUCGCCACGGGAAUACGAAGGGUGCAAGCGUUAAUCGGAAUUACUGGGCGUAAAGCGCGCGUAGGUGGUUCAUUAAGUUGGAUGUGAAAGCCCUGGGCUCAACCUGGGAAUUGCAGUGGAUACUGGGUCACUAGAGAGUGGUAGAGGAUAGUGGAAUUUCCGGUGUAGCAGUGAAAUGCGUAGAGAUCGGAAGGAACAUCUGUGGCGAAGGCGACUAUCUGGGCCAACACUGACACUGAGGCACGAAAGCGUGGGGAGCAAACAGGAUUAGAUACCCCAGUAGUCCCUGUCUCUUAUAU